rnacentral:rRNA from 1 species
GACGAACGUUGGCGGCGUGCCUAAUGCAUGCAAGUCGAACGAGGGACCUCCUCCGGGUAACCGGAAGAGGUCACCUAGUGGCGAACGGGUGAGUAACACGUGAGAAACCUGCCCCGGAGACCGGAAUAGCCCAGGGAAACUUGGAUUAAUGCCGGAUGUCCUCGGAUCGUCGCAUGGUCGACCGAGGAAAAGUCCGCUGCUCCGGGAUGGUCUCGCGGCCUAUCAGCUUGUUGGUGAGGUAACGGCUCACCAAGGCGACGACGGGUAGCUGGUCUGAGAGGACGAUCAGCCACACUGGGACUGAGACACGGCCCAGACUCCUGCGGGAGGCAGCAGCAGGGAACUUUGCACAAUGGACGAAAGUCUGAUGCAGCGACGCCGCGUGGGGGAUGAAUGCCUUCGGGUUGUAAACCCCUUUCAGGAGGGACGAAGCGAAAGUGACGGUACCUCCAGAAGAAGCCCCGGCCAACUACGUGCCAGCAGCCGCCGUAAGAC